rnacentral:lncRNA from 1 species
CGUUUCGUUUUUACGUAAAAAUCAUUGCCAUUGUUAGAAAUUAUGCCCGCGACCCGUGGAUUCCCCAAGCCACCUGCACACCUCAAACCACUGGCCGCCGCAUCUCCGCCCGCUGGCCGCCCCGCCGCAUCUCUGCCCGCUGGCCAGCCAUGUCUCCUUCCACGACUGGAUCAACAUCACCCCCGUCCAAUGGAUUUAUCCCGUUCACCGGCGUUCGCGAUCGACGAGCUGCAGAAUCUCACAACGCUCGAGCUCCAGGCCCGCUCCCCGGCGAGGUGCCUGCGUGGUUCAUCCGCGGUCUCCUGCCGCCACUCGCCGUGGUCGAGCUCCGCUAGAUCGCAGUCAAUGGCACGCUCCCGCCCAAUCUCGGCUCAUCGGGGAUUCUGACUAGGCUUCUCCUCUUCGGGAACAGCCUCUCGGUCCAGGUUCCAGAAACGUUGCUCUCCGUCAAAGGCCUUCUAUCGUAUAAAUUUGUUAUAUUUACUUUAUACUUUCUGGGGUCCUCUAAGUGGCGGUUGUGCUUUUGACGUUUAUGAAUACAGCAAUGACAUUCAUAUUUGUCAAGGCAUUAUUACUGAAGAGACAUAAAAAUUAUAUAUGUGAAACUUUUGUUGACCUAUUAUUCCCACCUCAGAACAAAAGAUUAGAGGAAUAUGAUUUGUCUAUGUAUAUGGUUCGAAGAAUUGACCUGAUGUAGAAGUAUAUGAUUUUGUGUGACUAGCCGUGAGUAAAUAUUGUUGUUUCGACUGGCCGUGAGUAGUGCUGAGGACUUGCGGGUAUUUCUUAGGUAUUCUUUUUACUCAGGUUUGACCAUAGAAACGAACAAGUCUUAUGACCAUCUGUACUGUAGUAUUGAUUAUACUAAUUUGUUGAGAUUUCAGGAUUUCAUAAUCAGGGAAUGAAAUAAAUUCCCACUUUACAGGUAUAUGAUUGAUCAAAUUAUUUAGUUAGUAAGUCAAUAUAUGUGUUAAUGUUAAGCGUUUAUUUCCUUAUAAGUAAUGGGUUCAUCAAGGAACGUAGAGUUCAGAUUGUUGGGCUUAGGAAAAUUAUCUACUAAGCUGUCUUUGAUUUACUCCUCAAAAGCAAUGCUUAUGUUGAGACAUGGCCUUCUAUCAGGAUGAUGGAACAUGCCAUGGUGAAGAAUCACAGUCUCUACUGGAAGUAUCUCAACAGCCAGAGCUUAAAUGUAGAGGUUCUGACUGGAGAUCACCUGCAAUCAUUCUUGGUGAGCCUUCUUGUAUGAAGCAUAUUUUUGCCCCUUUAAAUCCACAAUCUUCUUCCCUGAAUAUCAUGAGACAACUGACAACCAACUCAUAUAAUCGUGUAUAUGUAAUAUCCCUUUUUACAUGGUUAGUUGCUCUAUUCCUGAUUCUGGUAGGAUAUGCAAGGCAUGUUUCAUAACGUUCUUUGAUUUCAUUGUGAUCUUCCUGGGUGAUAUUCUCUUGUUUCUGCUGGUUCUGUCGCCAGGAAACUCAACAGGACUAUCCGAUACUUUUUACUUAGACAGUAAACUAAUACCGUUUUAAAUUAGAUCAAAAUCACAUGCAUUAGAAAUAUACUAAUUGACUAAAACCUGCAGGACUUGAAUGCUUGGAGAGCACACUAUGCCACGUUAAGUGAGGAAAAACGGUUCGUUUCUGUACACAAGUCGUGAUGAUGAUCUAUGAAACCUUAGAAGCGAUAUUCUGAAGUAAGCCCUUGGUGCCGCAGUGGCUGGAGCUUGAACAUUCUAUCGCAUAGACGCGGGUUUGAGUCCAAGUUCUCCCUUUUUUCAUUUUUAAUCUUUUUCCUUUCCUAUCCUUAUAUUACCUAUACUAAUAAAAGUCGUAUCACUUCUGUCCGUACGUCGUAAUUUUUUUUAGCAACCCAUACAUCAUAAUUAAGUAUCAUUGAUGAUCUGGGUCUUACACGCAUCUGCACCAUCAUGUCGAUAAAACAUAUAAUUUUUUCCGUGCUCGUUCGGCUAAAUAUUUAUCCCACAUCACUUAUUUACGCCUAAUCUCACCAAUUUAUAUGCGUACCCACUCAUGAUUCAACAAGCGACAACAAAGAUCUCACCAAAAACACGAUGGCAAUGGCAGUGAGUUAUUUACAUCUGUGCAAAAGAAACACCUGGCCACACGCAUAAGACAUCUGCACAGGAUGAGGGCAAGGAAAACAACCAUAAGCAUUGCCAGAGGCCCGACAACCCACUCGAUUUCGGGAUCAGUAUGAGUCCUGGUGACGAUGUGAGGGUGGACCGAACGAGGGAGAGGAGAGUGGUAGUUUCUGUCGAUCAGAUUUUAGACUAAUUGGUCAAACAAGGCUUGCAAUCGGGUGAGCUUCGCUCAUGUUGUAUUUUAAAUUUUUAUGGCUGCCACUCGACACGGCGGCCAAUUUUAAUAAUCUUUUUCCUAUCAAAAAGCUCUGAUUG